AUCCAGCUGACGAGUCCCAAAUAGGACAAAACACAUGUCCAAUUGGAU
rfam:Schistosoma rodhaini strain Burundi genome assembly, scaffold: SROB_scaffold0006658